GUGUAUGAUGAGAAAAAAAAAAAAAUUUAACUUUCGUUCUUCUGCAUUUAACGAAAUGAUGAUGAAUUGUACUCUGACACGGAAA
rnacentral:snoRNA from 1 species